rnacentral:rRNA from 1 species
GACGAACGCUGGCGGCGUGCUUAACACAUGCAAGUCGAACGGCAAGGCCCUUCGGGGUACACGAGUGGCGAACGGGUGAGUAACACGUGGGUGAACUGCCCUGCACUUCGGGAUAAGCCUGGGAAACUGGGUCUAAUACCGGAUAGGACCCUGGGAUGCAUGUCCUGGGGUGGAAAGCUUUUGCGGUGUGGGAUGGGCCCGCGGCCUAUCAGCUUGUUGGUGGGGUGAUGGCCUACCAAGGCGACGACGGGUAGCCGGCCUGAGAGGGUGACCGGCCACACUGGGACUGAGAUACGGCCCAGACUCCUACGGGAGGCAGCAGUGGGGAAUAUUGCACAAUGGGCGCAAGCCUGAUGCAGCGACGCCGCGUGAGGGAUGACGGCCUUCGGGUUGUAAACCUCUUUCAGCACCGACGAAGCGCAAGUGACGGUAGGUGCAGAAGAAGGACCGGCCAACUACGUGCCAGCAGCCGCCGCGG